GUGCCCUCCAUUUUGUAACAAGCCAAAAAGUGUGUAAAGUCUUGAAUUUGAGAAAUACAAGUUUCCUUUUUUCACUUCCUUCUUCCUAUUAGUGUUGUCCUCUUAAAAGCCUUAGCUAAUCCAAGUUAGUAAAUCCAUCUUUCCUCCAACAAACUGGUAUCAGAGCCCCAAGGUUCUUGUGAAAAAUGGCAAGUGGGAUGAUUCCUUUUCAAGUCCCCCAACUCAACAAGGAUAAUUACGACAAUUGGAGUAUAAGGAUGAAAGCAUUGCUCGGGUCGUAAGAUGCAUGGGAGAUCGUAGAGAAAGG
rnacentral:lncRNA from 1 species